rnacentral:lncRNA from 1 species
CUGACUCUGACUUUAAGUAUACGAAAUACAAAUUUUCAUGCCUACAUUUUAUUAUUAAUGCAUGGUCAGUUUGCUCUGGGUUUAGUCAUGUUACAAAGUAGAAUCUUAUUUAUUCCAUUUCCACCUACGCUGUUUAAAAAGAAUUAAUUUAAAAAAGUCCUAGGUCACUGCCAUGUAAAUUUAAUAGAAACUAUGAGCACACAACCAUCUACAAACCAAAAACGGACCCAGUCUCUGGUCUGAGGAGUAACGGCCCAAAUCACAGGAUGUGCUGUGGCAGUGGGUUACCUCUUUGGAAACAAUACCUUAUUUCUCCUGAAUAUUCAAAGAACAAAAAGGACAUAACCAAAGUCACCUGGGGAAAAUAGUUUUAAAUCCUAAAUUUGAUUCUGAAAGUUUUUCAGAGGCCAAAAAAUUUUCAACAUUAGAAACAAACAAAUAGUUACAGGUUUUCAAGCUAUGAUAAUUUACGGUUUUUAACACUCUGAAACUACUAAAAAACCAUAAAUUAUCAUUAACCUCUCUUCUAUAUUUCUGGAAAUACUGUAGGUGGGAAGAAUUAUCUAGGUAAUAAUUAAAGCUUUCCCCCUAUGUUGCUUUAAUAUAGCAAAUAUUGUAUUAAAAAUCAGUUUAGUAUGCUAGAUAUGGUUUCUAGUUUACAUUUUAAAGUCUAAUGCAGCCGGGCACAGUUGCUCAUGCCUGUAAUAUCACUCCUUGGGGAGGCUGAGGAAGGAGGAUCACUUGAGCCCAGGAGUUUGAGACCAGCCUGGGUAAUAUAGCAAGACCCUGUCUCUAAAAUUUUUUUUUUAUAAAGUCUAGUACAAAGUUAGAAAAGUUAUGUUAUGUCAUUAAUGACAUACUUGUAUAUCAUUAACAUGUCACUUGUAACUGUUUUACUCUGCUCAAUUUUCAUAUUGUUGAAAAAACCUCAACACCUUUUAAAUCUCCCUUGAAAUUUAUAAUUUAUCUCACACGUAGACAUUAAAAUUCAUAUCAUUCUACUCCUGGCAAAUUUAAGAACAUGCUUGUAAUUAAAAAUAAAACUCUAUCCUGACUUCUUCAAUCUAGUUGAAAAGGGAGUUGCUGCAUAUCUAAUAAUGCUGUGCUCAGCAAGCACUUGAUCCUCACAAGGAGUCUUAUGAACUAGAUUUGUCUGAAUUUUACAAAUUAGCAAACUAAAGUUUAGCAAUACAAAGCUGCCUUGUCAAAGGGAGCUAGCAAAUGGUAGACCCAGGAUUCAAACCCAGCUAUGUCUAAUUCUGCCACUCCAGCUAGCUCUUAACCACAGCCUCCCAAGACAAGUAAAACAUGAUCCUUUGCUUCAAGUUUACUUCCCACUUACUGGGAGUAAGUAUGACAUCCCAAAAGCGUCAGGAUUACAUCCUGAAUGUUUCAGUAAGGUUCUUUUAUAAAACCAUAAAGACAACCAUUAAUUUUUAAUCAAUGCAGAAUAUAGCUCUGUAAUAUAAAUAAGGGAAAUAGAAAAUUAUCAAUAAUUUUAGAAAGCUAUUCCUCAAAUAACAACACAAGUGACGUGCAUUUAUAUAACCAAUAUUUACUCAGCACUAAUUAUGUACCAGAGAUGCAGCAGUGAACAAACACAAAGCAACUUCUUCUUAAAUUCUAUCAAUUAAUAUACACAUUAUUGGUAAUUUCAUAUCCAGUGGAUGAUUCUGUCAACACUUAGGCCUCCCAAUUCCAUGAAGUCUUUUCCUCUAAUGAUCUCAUCUCCUACCCUCUCUUGGCCAGAUCCCUAGACCUUGUCAUUUCCAACUACUUCAAUUUCCUAAUUUCAAGCAUGUCAUUCUCUGAUCACCACUUCCUAACACUCUAAUGUGAGCAAUCCUUGAUCCAGUGGGACCUACAAUGAACUGAUCUACCUCUGUUUCCAGCACCUCCUCCUACACCCCCAAUUAAAGCUCAUGGUCAUUCAGUCGUUGCUGUUGUCCUCAUAUAUGCCCUCAACCUUUAGCAAAAUCUUUACUCUCUACCUACUCCUCACCUGUAACCAUCCAGGUGAGAGAGACUAGGAAAAAAAUCCCAUGAUCACAAUGACUGAUUUCACUUUAAAUCACUAUCAGAUAGGUACUUUGGAGGACACUUAAUGCAUCCCUGAAUUAAUUGCAGUUCCCUAAUUCUUUCACCUUCCUAGCUUAUUUCUUACUUUUCCACAAACCUGUAACACCUGUUUCAAAUGAUGUCCUUGCUCCUUAUCUUUCUGAGAUAACUGAAGCAUACAGAAGAUAAUUCCCCCCAGCUCCCAAAUUUGCCUGUCCUCCCUUUUUUAUGAUUGAACUGUCCAAGAGCCAAUUUGAGCUAUCAGUUUCUCCUUCUCUGGUACAUCAUCCCAUCAGCCUGCAAACUUACCAUUACUUUUCCCACUUAAAAAAAAGCAAUUUCUUUCUCCAGCUACAACCCCAUUUUUCUGUUCUUU